GACGAACGCUUGCGGCGUGCCUAAGAAAUGCAAGUCGAACGGGCGGAGACUUCGGUUUCCGUCAGUGGCGAACGGUCGCGUAACACGUAAGCAACCUGCCCUAAAGUGGGGGACAACAGCCCGAAAGGGCUGCUAAUACCGCAUGUGGCCCGGGAAUCGCAUGGUUUCCGGUCUAAAGGAUCUCGCAAGGGGUUCGCUUUAGGAUGGGCUUGCGGCCUAUCAGCUUGUUGGUGGGGUAACGGCCUACCAAGGCGUUGACGGGUAGCUGGUCUGAGAGGACGAUCAGCCGGAUUGGGACUGAGAUACGGCCCAGACUCCUACGGGGGGCAGCAAUUAGGAAUCUUGCGCAAUGGGGGCAACCCUGACGCAGCGACGCCGCGUGCGGGAUGAAGGCAUUCGUGUCGUAAACCGCUUUUUUAGGGGAAGAAGAAUGUGACGGUACCCUAAGAAUAAGCCCCGCUAACUACGUGCCAGCAGCCGCAGU
rnacentral:rRNA from 1 species